CAGAAUAUAGCUAAACCUUAUAGCAUUUCCCUUACACUGAAAAGUCACCCGUGCAAGCCGGGUUAUUCUGA
rnacentral:tRNA from 1 species